GAUGAACGCUGGCGGCGUGCCUAAUACAUGCAAGUCGAGCGAACGGACGAGAAACUUGCUUCUCUGAUGUUAGCGGCGGACGGGUGAGUAACACGUGGAUAACCUACCUAUAAGACCGGGAUAACUUCGGGAAACCGGAGCUAAUACCGGAUGAUAUUUUGAACCGCAUGGUUCAAAAGUGAAAGACGGUCUUGCUGUCACUUAUAGAUGGAUCCGCGCUGCAUUAGCUAGUUGGUAAGGUAACGGCCUACCAAGGCAACAAUGCAUAGCCGACCUAGGAGGGGGAUGGGCCACACUGGACCUGAGACACGGUCCAGACUCCUACGGGAGGCAGCAGUAGGGAAUCUUCCGCAAUGGGCGAAGGCCUGACGGAGCAACGCCGCGUGAGUGAUGAAGGUCUUCGGAUCGUAAAACUCUGUUAUUAGGGAAGAACAUAUGUGUAAGUAACUGUGCACAUCUUGACGGUACCUAAUCAGAAAGCCACGGCUAACUACGUG
rnacentral:rRNA from 1 species